UCAACCGCUACGUCUCGGGGGAGA
rnacentral:siRNA from 1 species